rnacentral:tRNA from 1 species
AUUUAAAUAAUAUAAUAAAUUAUAUUUAACUUCCAAUUAAAAAAUCUAUCCAAUAGUUUAAAUA